UACGUAGGGUGCGAGCGUUGUCCGGAAUUAUUGGGCGUAAAGAGCUCGUAGGCGGCCUGUCGCGUCGGAUGUGAAAGCCCGGGGCUCAACCCCGGGUCUGCAUUCGAUACGGGCAGGCUGGAGUGUGGUAGGGGAGAUCGGAAUUCCUGGUGUAGCGGUGAAAUGCGCAGAUAUCAUGUGGAACGCCAAUGGUGAAAACAACUCGCUGGGGAAGUGCUGACGCUGAGACACGAAAGCCAGGGGAGCGAACGGG
rnacentral:rRNA from 1 species